GUGGGGAAUUUUGGACAAUGGGGGCAACCCUGAUCCAGCCAUUCCGCGUGAGUGAAGAAGGCCUUCGGGUUGUAAAGCUCUUUCGGCAGGAACGAAACGGUGAGCUCUAACAUAGCUCGCUAAUGACGGUACCUGAAGAAGAAGCACCGGCUAACUACGUGCCAGCAGCCGCGGUAAUACGUAGGGUGCGAGCGUUAAUCGGAAUUACUGGGCGUAAAGCGUGCGCAGGCGGUUGUGUAAGACAGGUGUGAAAUCCCCGGGCUUAACCUGGGAACUGCGCUUGGGACUGCACGGCUAGAGUAUGGCAGAGGGGGGUGGAAUUCCACGUGUAGCAGUGAAAUGCGUAGAGAUGUGGAGGAACACCGAUGGCGAAGGCAGCCCCCUGGGCCAAUACUGACGCUCAUGCACGAAAGCGUGGGGAGCAAACAGGAUUAGAAACCCUGGUAGUCC
rnacentral:rRNA from 1 species